UUUGUUCCACCUUUGCCCCCUUAGUUUCGGCUACCGGUGUUAUGUUCCAUAUUUGAGCGCUCCUAACACGAUCAGGGUUGUUAUGGGGACCCCCUUGAUAAUUCGUUUUUGAUUAAGACUGGUCUGGCAAGGCCCAACUUUGGUACUACAUUUGCCUAAACACCUAAUAAAAUUGCAUAGGGACUUUCCGGACCCCGAGGUUAAUUUAAUCAACCCCCGGGCCAGUGCUCCUCAUGAGUGUUGGUCCAAAUUGGCAGACUACGGGGCCACCGCGGGGCAACCCGAGGUUUGGUACUCCUAGUGUGACCCAUCCGUCGUGUCCUGAGAAUGAGGUACGCGACUCCUAUCGGGAUCGUCGACACGUCGGGCGGCCUUGCUGGAUUAGUUUUACCUUUGACGAAAUAUCUUGUGCAUCGGGAUUCCGGUGAUGCUUUGGGUAAUCUCAGAGUUGAGGUUUUCCACUAGGGAAUCCGACGAGAUCGCGAGCUUCGUGAUUGAGGAUUUCUAUGCGGCUUGUGGUAAUUUGUGAUGGACUAGUUGGAGCACCCCUGCAGGGUUAAAUCUUUCGGAAAGCCGUGCUCGUGGUUAUGUGGCAAUGUGGAAGCUUUGUUUAACACUGGUUCUAGAUAACUUGAAGUAACUUAAGUAAAACAUGCCCACUGUGUGCGUAACCGUGACUGUCUCUUUCGUGAGUUCUUUCUCCGAUCGAGGACACGGUGGGGUUAUGUCUGACGUACGUAGGUGUUCAGGAUCAUUCUCUUGAUCAACCGUAGUUCACGUCCGUUAUGCGUAGUUCAUUCCCCUCUUUAUUCUUGUACCCGUAAGUUUAGCCACCAAAUAUAUGCUUAGUCGCUGCUGCAACCUCGCCACUUAACCAUGCCUCACCCAUUAAGCUUUGCUAGUCUUGAUACCUUUGGAAAUGAGAUUGCUGAGUCCCCUGUGGCUCACAGAUUACUACAACACCAGUUGCAGGUACAGGUAAAGGUUACUUGACGCGAGCGCGUUGAUUGUUCAUUUGGAGUUGCCUCUUCUUCUUCUUCUUCAUCGAUCUAGGAUGGGUUCCAGGCCGGCAGUCUGGGAUAGCAAGGAUGGACGUCGUUCUUCUUUUGUCGUUUGUUUUCGUCCGUAGUCGGACCCUGCUCUUACUCUUGAUGAUUAUGUAAUGUACUGAUGUGGCUCUGAUGUAGCUUGUGGCGAGUGUAAGCCAACUCUUUAUAUAUCUCUUCUUUUCAGUACAUGUACUUGUAACGAUAUCCAUUCUUGCGACACGACGAGAUGCGCUUCUAUCCCUGACGAGGCCCUCGUGCCAAAUUGAGGAUAGGGUCGCAUCUUGGGCGUGACAGGGUAGUCUUUCCUUGAUCACAGCAUUCAAGGUGCAAGCCUUUCUGCUCAAGGCAUCCACUGUUGGGGAACGUUGCAUGGGAAACAAAAAAUAUCCUAAGCACACGAAGACCUAUCAUGGUGAUGAUCAUCUACGAGAGGGAGAUCGGAUCUACAUACCCUUAUAGAUCGCUAAGCGGGAAGCAUUAAGAAACGGGUUUGAUGUAGUGGAACGUCUUCGCGAUCCAAAUCGUCGCCGUCCCACGAUCCGUCCUGAUCUAGUACCGAACGGACGGCACCUCCGCAUUCAGCACACGUAUAGCUCGAUGACGAUCCCUGCCUUCUUUAUCCAGCAAGAGAGACAAGGAAGUAGAUGAGUUAUCCGGCAGCGUGACGGCGUGCCAGUGGUGGUGAUGAUCUUAUUCCUGCAGGGCUUUGCCUAAGCACCGCAGAAAUCCGAUCUAGAGGAAGAACUGCGAAGUAGAGGUUUAGGGUUGCACGUGGCAAAGUUGUGUCUCAAAACCCUAAAACCUCUAGUAUAUAUAGGAGGAACCAAGGGGUGGGGCUUUCCUCCUACUCCAAGUAGGAGGUCUUCGUCCGAGGGAGGGAGGAAGGAAUCCUCCUCCACUUCGGUUUGGAAGGAGGAGUCCCUUCCUUCCUUCCCACCUCAUCUUUUUGUUUCCUUUUGCCUUUGUUUUUCUACUUGGACGAAAUAGCCCUUUUGGGCUGGCCUCACCAGCCCACUAAGGGCUGGUGUGCCACCCAUGGGCCUAUUAGGUUCUCUCCCGGGUGGGUGGCCCCUCCCGGUAAAACCCCAGAACCCAUUCGUCACUCCCGGUACACUGUCGGCAAUGCCCGAAAUCUUUCCGGAAGCCAAAUGCAACAAUCCUAUAUAUCAAUCUUCGUCUUCAGACCAUUCAGGAAACCCUCGUGACGCUUGGGAUCUCAUUCUGGACUCCGAACAAAACUUCGGUCACCAGCACCUAUAACUCAACUAUACCAAAACGUCAUCGAACCUUAAGUGUGCAGACCCUUCGACUUCGACAACUAUGUAGACAUGACCUGAGACACUCCCCGAUCAAUAUCCAAUAACGGGACCUGGAUGUCCGUAUUGGAUCCUACCUAUUCUAUCAAGAUCUUAUCGGUUGAACCUAUAUGUCAAGGAUUAAAACAAUCUCGUAUAUCAUUCCCUUUGUCCUUCGGUAUGUUACUUGCCCGAGAUUUGAUCGUCGGUAUCCCCAUACCCAUUUCAAUCUCGUUACCGGCAAGUCUCUUUACUUGUUCCGUAAUACAAGAUCUCGUGACUAACUCUUUAGUCACAUUGCUUGCAAGGCUUGUAUGUGAUGUUGUAUUACCGAGUGGGCCCCGAGAUACCUCUCCGUCACAGGGAGUGACAAAUCCCAGUCUUGAUCCAUGCUAACUCAACGGACACCUUCGGAGAUACCUGUAGAGCACCUUUAUAGUCACCCAGUAACGUUGCAAUGUUUGAUACACACAAGGCAUUCUCUGGUGUCGGUGAUUUACAUGAUCUCAUGGUCAUAGGAACGAAUACUUGACAUGUAGAAAACAAUAGCAACAAAACGACACGAUCACAUGCUACGUUUAUAGUUUGGGUCUUGUCCAUCACAUCAUUCUCCCAAUGAUGUGAUACCGUCAUCAAGUGACAACACUUGUCUAUGGUUAGGAAACCUUAACCAUCCUUGAUCAACAGGCUAGUUAACUAGAGACUUACUAGGGACAUAGUUUUGUCUAUAUAUCCACACAUGCAUUUAUGUUUCCAUUCAAUACAAUUAUAGCAUGGAUAAUAAACGAUUAUCUUGAAACAGUAAAUAUAAUAAUAACUAUUUUAUUAUUGCCUCUAGGGCAUAUUUCCAAUAGUCGACACUACAUUGCCCUUUCUGGGGUUGUACUAAAUAUUGAGGUCAUAAUGUUUGAUCAAUUCUAACCAUCUCCACUGCCUCAUGUUCAAUUCCUUUUGAGUAAAAAUAUACUUCAAACUCUUAUGGUCGGUGUAUAUCUCACGUCGCUUCCCUAGAAGGUAAUGUCGCCGGCUUUUCAAGGCAUGAACCACUGCUGCCAAUUCAAGGUCGUGAGUGGCAUAGUUCUCCUGAUGGGGACGUAGUUGUUGGGACAGAUGUGCCACGACCCUGCCUUCUUGCAUCAGGACACCACCGAGCCCGGUCCUCGAUGCAUUGCAGUAUAUCACAAACUCCUUGUGAAUACUAGGGGUGGCUAGGAUUGGGGCUGGCGCCACUCUUUUCUUGAGCUCUUGGAAGCUUUCUUUGCACUUCGGCAUCCACUCAAACUUUGUGUCCUUCUUCAACAGUUGAGUCAUAGGUCGGGCGAUGCUGGAGAAUCCUUCAACGAACUUGCAGUAGUAUCCCGCGAGCUCGACGAAGCCUCUAACUUCCUUCACAAUUGUUGGUAAUCUCCACUUCGUCACCGAUGUGAUCUUGGUGGGAUCGACUGCCAACCCAUCUGCCGUCAUCACAUGACCCAAGAACCCAACUUCAUGUAGCCAAACUUCGCAUUUGCUGAACUUGGCAUAAAGUUGGUGCUUUCGAUGUUUUUCUAACACCAUCCUCAAGUGUUGCUCACGCCCUUCUUUAGACUUGGAGGAGAUGAAUAUGUUGUCGAUGAAGUCGAUGACAAACUUGUCCAGAUACUCCAUGAAGACUUUGUUCAUGAGGAACAUGAAGUAGGCUGGGAUAUUGGUUAAUCCAAAUGACAUGACCGUGCACUCAUGCAGGCCGUAUCUGGUAACAAAUGUCGUCUUCAAAAUAUCUUAGGUCGGAUCUUUAGUUGGUACUACCGAGACCUGAGGUCGAUCUUGGAGAACACUUUGGCACCAUUAAACUGAUCGAAUAGGUCUUUAAUCUUGGGGCGUGGAUACUUGUUCUUUAUCGUGACUUCGUUGAGGGAACGGUAGUCAACAUAGAGUCUAAUAGUUUCGUCGUUCUUGGACACGAAUAGAACAGGUGAUCCCCAAGGAGAGUCACUAGGGCGAAUAAAUCCUUUCCUGAGUUGCUCGGCCAGUUGUUUCUUCAACUCAUCCAAUUCCUUGCACCCAUUCUAUAUGUCUUCUUAUAGAUGGAUCUUGGUCCCGGCAUUAGUUCAAUAAUGAACUCGAUGUCUCGGUUGGGAGGCAUCCAGGGUAGUUCGUGAGGAAAGACAUCCGGGUACUCACAUACCACUGGCACUUGGUGCAACUCAAUUCCCGAAAGGCGAUUAACCUCACGGGCUUGAGCGGAGGCGGGUUUGGGAACAUACUUGACCUCAACUCCUUCGUCACUGGUCAUAGUAAUAGUCCUCUUGGCACAGUCCAACAUACUCUGGUGCUUGGCUACCAAUCCAUAUCAAGGAUCACGUCCACGCUUUGCGACUUAAGGACGAUGAGGUCUGCUACGAAGUCUACCCCGUUAAUGGUGAUCGCAACUCCUCUAAACCCUAGAUUGAUUAUCAAUACUACACUUGGGGUUUGUACUAACAUAUGACCAUUCAGGAAUGUAGGCUUCAAGCCAGUCUCCAUCGCAAACUUUCGGGUGACAAAAGAAUGCGAAGCACCAUAAUGAAACAGUACUGUUGCUGGAGUUGAGUUGACAACGAACGUACCCAGUAUGCAACCUGGGUCCUCCUAGGAUUCCUCUACGGAGACGUGAUUCACACGACCAUUGCCGUUGUAGGGUGGGUUGCGGGGAGCUUGGUUCUUGGUAGAUGCUCCAUGACCUUGCCUUGAUUUGGCGCAUUGGGGCGCGGUGCAUCGGGCUUGUUGUUAGGGAACUGCCUCGAGAUUUGUCCAGGUUGACCACACCCAAAGCAGGUGACCUACCGGAAGAUUUUGGGCUUCCUGACAUUGCUAUUGCUCGGAGGGUUGUAUGUUGGCUUGGAGUUGGCAUACGUCUGAGGCUGGUAGCUCGAUCGAGGUGCGGGAUCCCUGGGGUGUUGAGGCUAAUAACUUGGCCUUGCCGGGGUUGAUUGCCAUGGGCUAGUCUUCUGGUUUCUAGAACCACCGAUGUUGAUUAGCUUGUGCUUGCACGUGUCUUCCAUGGCACGACGCUUAUCUUCAAGCAUGAGGGCCUUAUUCACCAGAUUGUAGAAGGUUCGGCAGUCACAGACAACAAGUUGGUAUUGCGGCGAUUACUGAAGCCCUUCCACGAAGUGUUCUAUCUAGGCGGCCUUAGUGCUGACAACAUUAUGUGCGUACCUUGAUAAGAGGUUGAAUUUCUGCAGGUGCUCCUUUAUUGAGCAAGUUCCUUGCUUCAACGAGCGAAACUCCUGCUUCUUGAUAGCCAUCAUCCCGCAGGGAUUAUAUGCAGUACAGAAUCCUUCCUUAAACUCAUCCCAGGUAAUAACAUGCUCGCCUUGCAUGACCUUGAAUCCGUCCCACCGAGCUCUGGCGGUACCUCCAGGAAAGUGAGAGGCAUAAAGAACCUUCUCACGGUCCUCAUUGCAGUUGAACAGUGCAAGGUGGUCCUCGAUGGUGUGGAUUUAGUCAUCGGCAUCCAAAGGCUCGGUUGUCUCAGUGAAGAUUGGGGGUGAAGUACUCAUGAAUACCGACAGAGUAGAGCGACCAUUUUCGUUCCAGCCCUCCUACGGGUUAUUUGCAAGGACCUGGGUCAUCUGUUCGAUAGCGGCUUUGUUGGCUUGGCGUUCCUCCCGGAGACCUUGGAGAAACCAAGCAAUGGUCAGUUUCUCCGAAGGAGACGAUGGCGGGGGAAUGUCGCCUUGUCAUUACAAGAAAUAUGUCAACUUUUGACCUUCAAUAUUAGUCACUAAAUGGUGGUUGUUUUUCAUUUACGACCUUUUUGUGACCAAAAACAGUUAGUCAAAAGCUGACCGUCACUGGUUGUCUGCCCAGGUCACGUCGAAUCCAACGUGGCAAGCUGACGUGGAAAAAUUACAACCAAUUGGAUUGGUCGUUGGUAAGAAUCAUCUCAGUUCAGUUCUGUGUGUAUAUGGACCAAACCCGACCAAUUGAAUUGGUCGUUGAUAAGAAUCAUCUCAGUCCAGUUCUGUGUGUAUAUGGGCCAAACGCAACAAUUCAGCCCAUUUAAUAUAUGUUUUCCUAUUAGUUUUGGUUAACUAGCUCGGCCUGGCCCAACUAUUCGGCCUUUUGCUUUCUGAGAUAAAACCUUUUCACGUUCUAUAAAAAAUUUGUUUUCAAUUUUUCAAGUUUGAGAUUAUUGUAGUCAACUGGAUGCAAAUUGUGAGAUUCUUCUAAGCGCUAGGUCCCAAUCGUCAGGUUAUUUUUUCACAGCUUGUGACUCAUUGAUAUACCAAUCAGAAAACACAUUUAAAAUAUAUUCAACUAACUCAUUGAUAUACCAAUUAGAAAACAGAUUUAAAAUAUAUUCAACUAACAUCCAAACUCAGUUUAUUACAAUAUUCCACACAAUCACAAUAUAACCAUACAAUAUUCCACCAAUCACAAUACAACACAUAAAACGCUCAACAAGUAUAGGAACGUCUCCAACACCUUAUAGUGCCUUCAACCUGCAAAACAUCAACAUCCAUCCACAUAUUAACCAUUGAGUUGAGAUCAAUUCACCCCUUGACGGAAAUAAGAAUAUGCGCUCAUGUAUGAACAAAACUAAAAUAAACAAACUUUGAGGCCAUAGCAUGUGCUACAAAAAUGUUAACAAUUUUUUUAAUAAUUUGUGGUAGCUUGUUCAAAUUCUACUGCAAGGAUUUCAGAUAUGUAUGUAUACUCAAAGUUUCAUAGAUAUUUGUGUGCAAAAUUAAUCUCCCGGUUUCAGAUACGUGUGUAUGCAAACUUAAUCGAUUCCUGGUGCUACUCCUAGUGCACACUUAUUAGAUAUACAGAAAUCAUGGUUAAAAUUCACAUGUACAUGUCCUGGUCCAGUCAAUCACUUACCUUCGUGAUUGCAUCCAUGUCAUGAAGCAGGACAUGGCUGAAUUGGCCUUCACUCACACCAACCAUGUAUAUGAGAAUGAUCAGUCAGCCAAUGAGGUCCAUUGAUUGCACAAGAUGAAAAGAACAUCCUGAAUUUGGGCACAUAUAUACCUAUAGAAAUAGCAGCAUCUCAAUCACUGUAUAAUCAGCAAGCACACAUAGCAGCAGUAAUAAGAACUCUCUGAAUCACAAACACUAAUCAGCACCCCUCUAUGCCAAUCUAUCUCCAACGGAUGAAACAACAAUAUCUCACUCAUCUCAGACGAAUCCUCUCCCAUCUCCCUCUCUCUGAAUCUCAUAUCACCUGAAGCAUAACAUGAGCUCGUUAAUAGACCAACCAAUUUCAUGUUUUUUCUAAUAAAAAGGAAGAGCCAAACUGUAUCUUAUCAUAUGAGGAGAAGAAAAAUAUAAGGGGUCAUACUUAUUCUGCGCCUAUUACGCUGGACCACACCACAUCUUCCAACAUGCUAUCCAAGACUAGCACUAGAAGAUGAAACACACAUAAUGUGUGUGAUGAACAACGGGUUUUAAGGCCAAACACACAUCAGGACGCUGAUAUAAGCCGACGGUACAUUCCCCACGGAGGAGGGAAACUGAGGAAUAAGCCAGCAGCCCCCUCACCUCCAGUACAAGGCUGUUCUCCGGAGAUAUAUGAGAAAGGCAAGCAUCGCGACCCUGCCAUUUACUCGAAGCUACGGGACACACACAGGAUAAAUAAAGAGAAAAACCAACAUCCCCUUUCUUUGCUCCCUUGAGCGUUGGCACAUAAUAAUGCGCUUGAUUGGGACAUGGGUUAACUGAAAUGUUGUGACGUGGUAAUUCCAUGAUGGAGGAAGUACUAGCUAGUACUCCCUCAGUUCCUAAAUAUAUGUCUUUUUAGAGGUUCCACUAGUGGGCUAUAUAUGGUUAUAUAUAGACAUACUUUAGAGUGUAUAUUCAUUCAUUUUACUCCGUAUGUAGACCCCUAGUGAAAUCUUUUAAAAGACUUAUAUUUAGGAACGGAGGGAGUACAUACACACAUGUCACACCGAGACAGAAUCCCCACACCCGCUCUGUUUACCGAAUGGAGGGAGGAAGUGACGAGAUCCCCUGUCCAUCCCUGUUGAGGGCUCAGCACCAUGCAGCACGGGCGGACCUAACGAGGCUCGCAGGUUGGGUUCAAGAUUCCGAGGGUACGGCUGGGUAGGGUUAGCAUGUCGCACCGCUAGAAGUAAAAGAAACAAAACAAGAGGGAAAAAAUAACGGAGAAGGAAGGGAGCAUAUCGGAUGAACCAGCCCAACGGAUGAAGAAGCAGCAAGCAAAUAUAGAGGCAUCUCCCUCUUGGCUCUCUCCCCACCCCCAAAUCGAGCCCACCGUCGCUCCCGUCAUCCCCUUCAACAGCGGCAAUGAGUCUGGGACACAUGUCCAUCCCGCUCGGCUCUCUCCCCACCGCAGGGGAUACAUCGCAUCCCCGUGUGCAGCCCCGGCGACCGUGGCACGCCCUCUAUCUACAUCCUGGCAGUGUCGCCUCUCCCUCCUCCAACUUUCUAUGCUUUGCUCGAUCUAAGAGAAAAUCAAGGGUAGGACGGACCUGUGAUGCGGAGGACAUGACGUGGUGACGGGAACGAUCUGCCCGGAGGUGGAGGCGGGAAUGAUCUGCUAUUUGUACUCCUUGAGACGCGCCUUGAGCUCAUGGUCCUCCUCCGACUGCGAAAGGCUUGAAACACGAGUCACGCGACCACACCCGUAAGAGAGAGGAUGAGUGGCGCCCCCGCCCCAUGGGAAGAAAGCAGAGGAAGAGAAGGGGGGAAGCUCUGGGGUCGUCGUUGCUCACCGGGUUGUCCCCCUUCGUCUUCCCCUUUCCCUUGGCCGGCUGUGGCAGGGCGUGGGAGGCGGCAUGAACUCUGUCGCCGCCACUAGCAUCCUCGUGCGACGAGGGAGAGCAGAUUAGGAUUUGGAUCUCCGUCUGGAUCGGGGGAGGAUAGGGACUGAGGGAGGAGGCGGCGGAAGGAAGUUAAACGAGGGAGCAGAGGGUGUCGUGCACUGCGUUUAGGUUUAGCUAUAUGAGAGGCGAGUGAGAGGCGAGUGAGAGACGUUGGAUCCGCAG
rnacentral:lncRNA from 1 species